GCUAGAUGUUUUUUAGUACCAAGGCAGUCCUUGAGCUGCAGGACCCCAGAGUGAUUUACAUAGGCAUCAGUUAUGCAAUCUCUUUCUGAGGGCGCUGAAGUACAAUGAGAAAAAGUAUUUGAUUGGAGUUCUGAGCUGGUUUAAAAUGCACUACUGAAAUGGCUAACAGAACAAACUCCUCUGAGUAUUUUUGGUCCUAUGAAUAUUAUUGGGAUUAUAUAGAUCCAAUUCCAGUAGACGGAAGCAAGUUGAAGGUUAAUAAAUAUUCUAUUGUCAUAGCCUUUUGGGUUGGGCUUGCUGCAUUUGUGACGUUUCUUUUCCUUAUUUUACUGUACAUGUCCCGCUCUGGAUCUACUCCAGUAAAACAGGUGAUUGUUGGGAACCAGGUAGAAGAAAGAAGUUCCAGCAGUGACCAGCCUCCCUGCAAUGAUCUCAGUAGCCCAUACUCAGAUGUAGUUGCUUCUGAAACAUCUACCUCCUUUUCGGAUGAAACUGGCAUUCACGGAAGGAUCUGAGCCUGAGUUAAAACUGAAACGGGUUAAACAAAACCGGCAGUUCAGUCCUCCUGACUGCAGAGAAAAGCUCAGUGCUGUGACUGCCUAUUAAACACUGAUACCACAAACCUGAAUUAGUUCAGGAGAAGAAAAAGAAAAAUGUCUUUCAACAAAGGCCAAACCUGAAAAGUCCUGGAUGCAUAAAAGGAAAUCACAACGGCCGUAUUUGAGCGACGUAGCUGGAGUUGCCUGCUAGAAGAGCAAUUUAGAACCUGGUGAUGAUGCUGCCUGUAGAAUUUCUCUUGCCUUGUUUACCUAAGGGUUCAGACCCAAAAUUCCUCUCUAUUACACAGCACAAAGGCUGUGCUGCCGGUUGAGCGAUUCUCAUUAAGACCCAUUUGGCUGAGAGCAGAUUUACUUCUCCGGCAGAAAGCCUAUACCAGUUACACCCCGCAUCCUGUGAAGAGUUCUGCCUUGCUCACCUGAGUGCACGCUGCGUCCUGUUAUCCUCGGGGGGAUCUGUGCAGCAUCAGUUUUCACUGGGUUGUCUUGCUGUGAAAAAAAAGCAGCAGCCCAUUGAUCUUUCUUAACUGGCAGCAUAACCAAAAUUGUUUAUAGAUAUUACGAGAGCCACAAGUCGUCUGUUUGUGACAUCUCCACUUGGUUGUCUGCUGAAAAAUAAGCAACAAUGUCCAGUGCAACACCAGCAAUAAAACUGCUUCUAGAGGGGUUACAACUUGUUUCACUAACUUAAAGCUUAGCAGUUCCCUCAAGGAUAGAAUAUGCUUUUUAUUUACUUUUCUAUUGCAAAAAAUAUUUGAGUUAUUUAAAAUUUAUUAAAACACUGUUUACCUAGAACAGCCUUUAAAACGCUAAUGGCAGCACUAGCUCGAGUGAGUGUCUUACAGAAUUGAGUCAUUAGUUUUACCAGCUGCCCAGAAAUACAGUUUUUCUACCAAUAACCAAUUGCUUUUUGCUUUCGUUUUGAAAUGGUAGGUGGAAAAGAAACUGUUAACAUUGAACAGUCUUGAAAUGGUACCUGCCAGUUACCUAGGCACUAGAAAAAAAAAAGAGAAGUGUGUUUAUCGUAUUUUGUAUCACAGGAAAAUGCUGGCAAAACCACAAAAGCAACAUCGCAUUUCCGCACGAGUUGCCUUCUUUCAGCUGGGGCUGACGAAUAGUGUAGCAGAAGCUACAGCCCUCCUUGAGGGUCACAGAAGCUUUUCGGUGAGGUGGGUUAAACUCAGCUGGAGCAGAGUCGGAAGGGCUACUCACACUCCCUCGCUUUUGGUGGCCUCUGCUCUCUCCACCUCCUCACCUGUGGAGCUCCACCAAACCCAGGCAGAACCAGGUAAAAGCCCAUGAGAGGGUGAAGAACCCUUAGAGCUCCAGUAAGCACGAAGCUGGGACUGCGGAGUCGGGCCAAGGAAGGCAGCGAGGGCUGGAAUAGAUGUAAGAGCGCAGAGCUGGUUGGUGGGCUGAGGACAACACAACAUUCAUUUGAAACUUCAGGAGAAGCUUAGAAAUUCCACGUCCCCAAGCAGGCGGCAAAAACUCCUACAGUGAAGCACUGCCAGAGCAGCCUUAUGCUGCACACGGGGAGCGUGGGCUGUGAUGUUGCCAGCGCGUGGGUGGGUUGGGCUGUGUUAAAAAAGCCUUAAACACACGAGACAGACCAAACCACCGGGCAUAUGUUUGUAUUGUCGUUGUUUUUUUGAAUCUCCAAAUUUUUUAAUCUUCGAGAUAAACACUUCUGCAGUUUGCUUUUUUGACUACUACUGGUGUUGGGCUUGGAAACCUGUCAAGGCGUAAAGUCUGUUGAGUCAGACUGAGUCACGGGCAGAUGGAGAAAACAAGGAAAGGCUGCAGGAACUGACGGUGCAACGCAGACAGACAUAUAUCAGAGAACCAAAGAUUUCCACCAGUCAAUUCCGAUGGCUGCAACAGCCUUCCCCUCCCCUCAGGUAGCCCGACCUUUUGCUAGAGCUGAGGUAGUUCUCACAGGAGACAUGAACCACUUGUCGGCACCAGCUCUCCUGCUGCAAAUUGGGAGUUACCUUUAACCCCACUGCAAUCACACUGUAUCAUCAAAGGCUGUCGGAAGAGGACCUGGCCAUCCAGACCCAUUUUCCUCCUCAAGGAUGCAGCAACUGCACUUUGAUCAUUCCUGCCACGUGUGUCUAAUCUGAGCUAGAACAUCUCUCCUGCCGGCGCCAUCUGCUCCAGUGUCCUCCUCCCUGACUUGUGGCAUACUUUUUUCACCUUGUUUUACAAGAACUGCUUCUCUACAAAUGGAUUCCAAGGGGAUUUCCGGAACAGGUGAAUACUCCCAUUCUGGUGUUCUUUCAUUAGUUGCACUGGAAGUAAUGACUCAAAGUACAUGACCACUGGAGAGACUUCCCCCCCCCCGCCCACCCUUUUAAAUUACCUGGAAGGCAUUGAGUAUGAAGUAUAUAAACAGUAAUAAAUAAUAUGCAAAAUGCAAGCCUAUCUUAUAGCACCUAACUUGGGAGGAGGGAAGAGGGGGGAGAGACAUGCAUUUCAUUCUGUGACAUUUCCAUACGUACCCAUCCCAAGGCCCUUCCAGCACUUUGCUCUCCCUGGUGAGCACUUUAUUUCCCCUUCCCCAGAGUCCUCCGUUAGCAGAGGCCUUCCCUGUGUGGCCUGCAGCAUUGCAUCAACAAAGUGGGACCCAAAUCACCUCAUGCUGCUGCUUCGAAGACAUAGUUGACUUCUCUAAAAAUGUUACCCCAAACCACACCCGCCCCCCCCGAAAGCCACUGCGUUCUGCCCAGUUGCUCAUGCUGCGUGACAUCCUCUCCUGCCACCGUGGCAGAUGUCCAGAUCCUGAGGAGUCCCACCUGCAACUCAAACUGUACGUGGUCUGUGCACCAGGUACAACAGGAAGCAAUAUGUUCUUCUGGGCUGUUAACUGCACUGAAUUUUUGUGGAUUUUGAGUAAAAGGCUUCCAAGGCCUGUCCUGGCAAUGGCUUUGGCCGGGGCAGCCCAGACCGCUGGCCGGCUGCAGCUGGAGCACACUGGAGCUUCAUCCACACAGUUCUCAUCACCACAGCAUCAAAGCAAGUAACUUGCAUUAAGUUGUAGAAACUCCUCGUUUUAAAACAUCGGGCCAUAUCUGGGGCAAGUUUUCCAUUUCCAAAUGCGCUCCACAAUUUAUUUUAAUCAAGCUUAAUUUCUUCAGAUAAUGACUCUCCAUCUAUGUAAUUUAUUAAAACGCGUCUUGAACACGUUGGCGGUAAUUCACACAUACAGAUCAUUCAACUGCUAACCGUCUAUGGCUUUUAAAGACGCUUGACCAUUAUUUCUAGGAGGACUUCAUAAUUAUCUUUUAAUUGCCACAUUACUGGAAUAUAUUGAAGCUCAGAGGCAGUGAGAGAUUAAGCCUUAUUUUUAAACAUUCCCACAGGCACAGCUACAGUCUCUUUACCGAUAAACACAUAGAAGCUAUGUAUCUUUUUACGUGACAGGCUAGUAGCUUUAAAUCGUCAGUUCAUUUGCAUUAUUUUUCUGUUUCCAAAACUACCAUUUAAAAAAAAAGGAAAAUAAAUGUGUAUGAACAAUCCUCUCCUCCAACCUUGAGUAGUUUGAUAAUAGCAGUAGUGGCGAUACUAAAUGUUGCAAGCUGGGGAGAAAGUACUCACUCCUGGGCCUUUCUGAAUACUUCAGGCCGUCAGAAAAUCAUCACUUGAGUAUGGACCCCUGGCGUGGAUUCAUGCGCAAGUGGUCAGGAAUUA